GAUGAAGAACGUAGCGAAAUGCGAUACGUAAUGUGAAUUGCAGAAUUCAGUGAAUCAUCGAAUCUUUGAACGCAUAUUGCGCUCUCUGGUAUUCCGGAGAGCAUGCUUGUUUGAGUAUCAGUAAACACCUCAACUUCCAUAUCUUUUUUGAAAUGGGAGUUGGACUUGAGUGAUCCCAACGCUUUUCCUCACCGAAAAGUGGCGGGUUACUUGAAAUGCAGGUGCAGCUGGACUUUUCUCUGAGCUAUAAGCAUAUCUAUUUAGUCUGCCUAAAAAACAGAUUAUUACCUUUGCUGCAGCUAACAUAAAGGAGAUUAGUUCUUGUGCUGACUGAUGCAGGAUUCACAAAGACAGGCUUCGGCCGACUUUGUAAACUCGAUCUUAAAUCAAGUAAGACUACCCGCUGAACUUAAGCAUAUCAAUAAGCGGAGGA
rnacentral:misc_RNA from 1 species